ensembl:misc_RNA Metazoa_SRP Metazoan signal recognition particle RNA
CUGGGGCAUGGUGAUGUGCGCCUGUAAUCCCAGCUACUGGAGAGACUGAGAUGGAAGGAUUGCUUGAGCCCAGCAGUUCUAGGCUGUGGUGCACUAUGCUGAUUGGGUAUCUGCACCAAGUUCAUAUCAAUAUGGUGAUCUCCUGGGAGCCAGGUACCACCAGCUUGCCUAAGGAGGGGCAAACUGGUCCAGUUUGGAAAUGGAGCAGGUAAAAACUUUGUGCUCAUCAGUUGUGGAGGUAGUGCCUGUGAGUAGCCACUACAGUCCAACCUAGGCAGCAUAGCGACAUUGUCUCAA